UGCAUGUCAUACCGAGAAGCAAGAUCUGAGGAGAUACUCUAGCUCCUUUUCAUUUCCAAAGUGCAGCCAGCUUUCUGGUGUACAAAGUCACUGGCAUGCAUGGGGCACCAAGUGAUGGAAAGCCAGUAGUACAUGUUAAUGAACAUGAUUUACAGUUUGGCAGGAUGUUAGAAUGGAUGACUUGUCUCCCUCGUGGGCUGCUAUUCCUAUGCAUGACGGAGUGAGCUAAGGAUGCACUGAAGUAUCUUAGCUAUUUGUCUCCUGUUCUGCUGAGUUUGGAUGUCUUCUAAAGCAUUUUCUGAGGCAGAUCCAGAAUGGACUUCAAGAGAACUGAUUUCAAUGGUUCUGUCCCUCUUACAUCCUGUUACACCUACUUCUCCACAGACUAUAUCAGGGCUGUGAUUCUUCAGGAUCAACAGGCUGACCAAAAGACAUGACAAAUUGGAGGAAAGACUUUUUUCCUGGAAUUAAAUGCACACUAGUAUUGACCCCGGGAGUUAAGAAAACUCGACCAACAGACAUUUCCCAAAGCAUUGUGGUCUUCAUAAACUUCAGUUUAACCUGAGUGAGAGACAGCAUCUUCUCCUAUUACUCUUAGGGAAGGGGAAGUGGUCAGAGGAGUCUUAAAAUUGUGAACACUUUCAACAGCUGGAGAAUGCAGAUGGUCAUUUUUGACUCAGAGAAUUGGCCUGAGAAUAUUGCAGGAUGUUUUGUUCAGACUAAAACAUAGUGAUCAUAAUGAAAAACACCUCUUUCUAAAGAGGAC